AUGCGGCGUGGAUUUAUCAGGACUUUUUUAUGUGUGAAUAGAAACAUCUUUAAAACAAAGAAUAAAAUAAACAAUUAACAAUUUCAAUAUUCAGAACUAUAAAAAAGUAUGUGAUUGAACUUGCACAUGUUACUUGACAACUAAACCAUUGUGAAAGCUAAUAUAGGAGAGGGACAUGAAUUGAAUGUCUUUCAAGGUUAUUCAUAUUUAUGUAGACAUAUUAGUUAAACAUUUCCAAAAGUUCAUAAAUUAUGAAACUAAAAUAAAAUCAUAAAACUAAACUAACAACCGUACUAUUUGUUACAUACAUGAGUAGAUAAAUAAUUAGCCAACUAUUGGAGUAACAUUUAACAAUUUAACUAACAUUUAAUAUAUUGACAACAAGAAAUAUAAAAAAACUAUUGGAAUUUAGACGAGAAUCAUAUAGGACUAAACAAUCAUAAGAAUUUAAAUAUCAAUGAAGUUUCACUUGUUCCAAUCUCAGAUUGAAAUAUUAAACCAGAAGUCUCAUUUAUUACAUAAAAAUAACUACUGUCGUGUGGAAAAUAUAUGUCAUGUUUACGUAAGAGGUGACAGUUUAGCUGAUGUUUUAAUUACGGAUCAUGAAUAUCCGAACAGGAUGUCACACACACACUUAUUACCAAUAUAUUAGAUGAAUCUGCAGCAAAGUAUCCUUCAAAUUCAUCGUCAAAAUUAAAUGAAUCGACCUUUGAUUUUUCACAAGCUAACGUUUAUCUUGCUAAGUAUCAAAAUGUUCGAGAGGCUGACUUAUUGACUAAAAUACAAAAUGAUGUGGAUGAAAUGAUACUUGUAUGUUAUUGAAAAAAUUUCAAAAAAGUGAAGUAUUGUUUAAAAAGCUAUAUUAAAUAAGAAUGUUUUGUGCUGUCUUCAGCAUAACACUUCAAAAAUAGUAUUACAAAGAGGCGAAAAAUUGGAUUAUUCAGUAAAAAUAUCAGAGGGUCUGAGUAUGCAGUCUAAAGCAUUUUAUAAAACUGCACGUAACUGAUUCAUACUGCAGUUUGACAGCUUAAAAUAUAAUAAUCCAUUGAGAUGAUAAUGAAAAAUAAACAAAUCUUUUUAUACAUUUAUUAUAAAUUAUAUUCGAAAUAAAAUGUCAGUGUUUACCAAUUUAAAUGUAUUUAUGUACUAAGAGAAAUUUUAAUUCGUUUUAAUUAUCAUAGAAACUUCAAAUUUCUUAAAAUUAUUGUCCUCUUUAUUGUGAUUUCCAAUUUAUAACUCAUUCAUAAAAAGAAAGUACAAAAAAUUGUAUUUUAUAACCUUAUAAUCGUGAGAUAUUUGUAAA